CACCUGACCCCAUGCCGAACUCAGAAGUGAAACGCCGUAGCGCCGAUGGUAGUGUGGGGUCUCCCCAUGUGAGAGUAGGGAACUGCCAGAC
rnacentral:rRNA from 2 species